UCUCUGCCUCUCUCUUUCUAUGUGUAUCAUUCAUAAAUAAAUAGAUAAAUAAAUAAUAAAUAAAUAAAUAAAUAAAUAAAGAAUAAAUCUUAAAACAAAACAAAACUGUUUGUAGCCUCUGAUGGAGAACCACAUUUGCUCUGUAGCCCCCUCCUGCCCUGCCUCUGGGAUGAAGGGGCUCCUUUAUCUGAGCUCUGGCACCCACCCUGCACAUAUCCCCAGCUUCAGUUCUCACCAAGGCCUCAGGUCUGGUGGUGGCAUCUGGUGGGUUUCAGCCUAGAGCCUGUCACACAAAGACAAGGACAGAUGUGGGCAUUGCCAGAGGCCCGGGAGCUGAGGCAGCACUGUUCAUGGUGUCUCAGAUACCAAUCGUCAACUGGAGGGUAGAAAGAGACAUCGACCCUUCCCUCUUUACUACUGCCUUACUCACUCCCUCUCUCCUUGCAGUUUUCUAGCCCUUUGGAAUUGGGUGUGUGUAUGCAAGGCAGAAAACCCACAUACCCUGCCCCUGCCUUCAGCAGCCUACAGAACUGUGGCUACAAUGCGGAUAGCCUGGGACUCACUCAUAGCCUCGUCAUGCAGCCUCCUCUACCGCCUCAAAUAAAUCCUGUCCCUACAAAGCCUUAAAUCAUUUACUGCCACUGACCCAGAUUUGUAGAGUUCACAUUGGAAGAAUUUGGGGGGGAAAUAAAACUGUCAGGUUUUUCAAUCUCUGAAAGGAAGCUGCGAAUCUCUGUUGAACCACCAAGCAAAAACAUCUGAUGAAGGCAUGUUCACAGCGCUGUCUUCUUUUGGAAAAUAACUCAACAAUGUGUGUGAACGCUGGGUAACAGUGGAGUAACAAGGAUGACGACUCCUGAGACUUGAGUAUGUGAAACACGCCAGCAGCCACAGUAAUGAGAUCCCAGACUCCUAAGCCCUGGGCCGGCUUCUCCUGACUAUUAUGCCUGUGGCACCCAGCCCUGAGGCUGAAGACCAAGGUGUGCCCUGAAUGGUGGAGAGGACAGCGCUGCUUGGUGGCAGCGGAACUAGCAGGCUGUCUGCAGCCUGAGCCACCUCCUUUCUAGGGCUCAAGACCCCAAUCCCAAGAUCAAAAAGGGCAUCCAUCCAUACGUGGACAUUUGUGUGUGUGAGUGCCACUACUGUGCAAAUACAUGACUUUGUCCAGGAAGAAGAGGUAAGGAGUUCUGAUGGGAGGCUGGCUUUGGGGUAGACGGCAGGAGGUAGCAAGAAGAACACAGGGAAGGGAGAGGCCAGCGUCAGGGUACUCAAAGGUAGGAUGGAGCAAAGAGUGAGGGACCGUGGGGACAGCGGGAGGGGGAGGGACAGAACUGUUCUACCUGCUUCACAGGCUUGCAAGCCCAGCUAAUGGUCUGCACCAAGGUUCUAAAGCACACGGGAGCUGCUCCUAAACCGCAGAGAGUGUUCACACUUGAGUUCAAACCACGGCAACUGGGAUGACGGUUCACAUUAGCGUCCAAUAUAUUCCCCAAAGGACAUGUUAAAGGGUGUGAAAGUAGACCCAGGUGGUGGCCUCCACUGCUGAGUUGAAAUUUUUUAAGUAAAUCAAAAAUACCUUAAACGAAAACUUUCAAAGCCCCAGACCUUAAGAUGACAAGUGCUGCUUAUUUUUUUCCUUUGAAAAAUGCAUACAAAAAUACAGAUAAUGGUUAUAAAAUGUCAGCUGCAAUGGUUAUUUGCUGGAACACAGGGUCCACCACAGGAAUUGCAUCAUGAGAGCCUGAGUGCAACCAGGACAGGAAGGGGGGUGGGGGAGGAGGAAGAGCACUUGCAAGGCAGGAGCAGGAGGGCUGUGUCACUUGAGAUGCGAAAGAAAAUUGACAGUGAGGUUGUAAAAAUGAUGCAGCUUCAGAACCAAGUUGUUGGCCACAGCGCAAUUUACAUGGAAGGUCAAAUUCAUGCCUUUAAUUUUCUUUCAUGUAGGAUUUAAAAAAUAAAAGAAGCGGAAUUCCCUCUCUCUCCAGCCCCUCCCCUCCUUUUUUGGUGUUAAUAGAGAAAUAUCAAUUAACUCUCACUCUCAGGUCUUAAAAGCCUUUGCAUCAUUUUUAUUUUCAGCAAAAGUGAAUCAUCUUUUACAAAACCAUGGCGUCCUGGCAAAGCUGCAUCACUGGGAUGGCUGAAAAUACAGUGCCCACGGUUAAAACAAACAAAAGAUUGGUUUGAGGAGUCGAGAGGUGGCUCAGUGUACCCGUUACCUAAGGAAGUCUAAAAUAAUCCUGCCCCCAGAUCAGAGGCUCUGCCUGCAGUGCCCACCGGAGCAGUCUCCCCCAGCAUUCCUGCCGCGGCCCUCCCUGAGGCCACCCACUCCUCCACCCACACCUAAGAGGCCAGGAGUAGUCUCCGGGAAUCCCCAGGCCUUCCUGCAGCAGAGGUGGCCUCCACCCGUCUGUCCCAGGGCCGCGAGCAGACUGAGGCCGCACGUCUGCCUACCUUCUGGCCAAGGAAGAGGCUCUUGGUGGAGAGGACUGUGAAGCCGUCGGCCGGUGUUCCCUCAGUGGUGCUAUCCGCGCUGGCUGCCUUGCUGACUUCCCCCUGCUUCUUCUUGCACAAAGAUAAGAGUCAUCAUGAGGCUACACAAGCAGAGACCAAAGGGAUCUGGGCUUUUCUAACAGGGAGGUGGCUCCUAGGCCCUGCCCAUGGUCCUGGAGGAAAUAGGAAACUAAAGCACAACCAGUUUUUGGCCUUUUUCAAAGUGGGAGCCGCAAGCUCUGUGAAGUCCGGGAGUUCGAUGAAGAGCAUUAGUUGUAUUUUUAUCACUUUGUAAUACAUAAAAAAUAUAUAAUAUUUUUACAAAAUAAAAUUUUUGUGUAUUAAAAAUAUACCUGAAGGCAAAAUUUUACUGCAGAGUGACAAUCUACAACAUUUUCAUAAAUUUAGACCAACUAAAUAUCUCUUAAUUAGGGUCUUUGCUUUCUAGAUGUCUGUUCACUAUUCAAGUUUGAGGAGGAAAAGCAAACUUCCUGAUCACAAGUUCUCAAAGAGCCAAAAAUCAGAUGAAACUCCAUAACCCUCUAACCUUCCCCCAGCCCAGGAGUUAGACGGUACCCAGCUGUUCUUCAAGAAAACCAGGCUUGGAGAAAGAAGGAUCCCUAUGGUGGCUGUUGGCAAGCCCUGCUGCCCCUGGGGACUCCCCACCCUCCUGGUGGGAUGGUUAUCAGCGUGCUCAUUGGCCUCUUCCCGGUACCAACCAGAUUCAAGUAUGUAUACCCUGGGGUUCCCAAGAGUCCUGCAAGGUAUGUUGUCCAGAGAGUUUUAAUUUCCAAUCCCCAACUUUUAAUAUACUUUUCCUGAAACUGAUCUACCCUGAGUGAUGGUCUCAUGCCACAUAUCCUUGAACUACCACUCGUGUCCCACUUCUCAUUACUGGGAUGUCACUCCCCCUCUCCCACCCCGGGAAUAGGGAUACAGGGCUUUCUCAGUCUUUCAUGCAUUUCUGUUAAGUAUAAGGACGGUAUGAGAAAUGGGUAUUUUGGCUCAUGUGGGGAUGUUCUGUAUUCACAUAUAUCAUAGACUAAAGAUAGUGGAAACAAUGGUAGUUUGUGUUUAGACACUUCCCCACUUCCCCUUUUCUCUUCCCUCCAGUUUUUAUCAAAAAGUACAUCACUCUUGAGGGAUGUUCCAGUGGGAGCAAACCAAGAAAGCAGGGGUGAGAGGUAUUCCAGAUGGCCACGUCUUCUAAAGGAAGGCUCUGGACCACCAACUCAAGGCAAGGUCUACAUGUCUGUUUAGGGAUUCAAAUUCAUUAACAUUAACAUUUUUGCUUACAUUGAAAAAAAAAUUCUAGUUUUACUGAGUGCUUUAACAAGCAGGACUACUUUUACAAUUAAGUUCAAUGGCAAACCUGGAACAUUUUCUGUAAAUUAAAUGAGCCAAAUCUGAAGCUUCAAGGUUUUGAUAUAAGUGCUAAGACAAAAAGCAUUUUAUCAAGAAACAGGGCAUUAGCAAAGAUAGGUUAAAAUGGUCACUAUUAUGGUUUUCCUAAUUCUUUCAGUAUACCAGAUAUGCCAAGUGAAAGAGAACCCCAAAAGUGAAAGGUAUAACCUACAGUUACAUGGCAAGUCUUAGUAAGCCUUUUUUUAUAUACUUUCCAGGAAACAAGAAAGGGAAAGGCUGGGUGACAAAUCCUUUCACUACUCAGAUGUUUCUAAUUCUGUGCUUUCAACAAAAUGGGAGAAAUAUCAAAUUUACUUAACACCUGAGAGAUCAUUAUAAAAACAGAUUGAUGGACUUAAUAGUAAUGUACCAAUGCCAGUUUCUUAGUUGUGACAAAUGUACCAGGGUGAUGGAAGAUGUUACAAUGGGGAAACUGGUGAGGAGUAUUCAGGAACUCUCUUACUAUCUCUAACUUUGUCAAUCUAAAACAAUUGUAAAAUAAAGCAUGUAUUAAAACAAACUGAUGACAGAUUACUAAGUGACUAUUGGAACUUAAGAGUUCAGAGGAUUGAAUGAUGUUGCUUUAACAAAAUCCUUUCCAUUCCCACUUAUUUUUUGUGACCAAGACAUUCCAGGUACUUUUACCUGUAAAUAUACAAAAACAGGAUGCUGAACCCGGUUUCAUUUCAGAAAUAAGUAACUACUUUACCAGUUAUUGCAAAAACUGUAUCUCAAUAUAUCCUAUUGUAAGAAUACAGUUCCAAGACUAUUGUUUUCCU